GGGCCCCGCACAAGCAGCGGAGCGUGUGGUUUAAUUCGAUGCUACACGAAGAACCUUACCAGGGUUUGACAUGCAAGUGGUAGGAAACCGAAAGGCGACCGACCUUCGGGGAGCUUGCACAGGUGCUGCAUGGCUGUCGUCAGCUCGUGUCGUGAGAUGUUCGGUUAAGUCCGCUAACGAGCGCAACCCUCGCUGUGUGUUACAAGUGUCACACGGUACUGCCGGUCUUAAGCCGGAGGAAGGUGGGGAUGACGUCAAGUCAGCAUGGCCUUUAUGUCCUGGGCUACACACACGCUACAAUGGCCAACACAAUAGGUUGCUAAGCCGCGAGGUGGAGCCAAUCCUCAAAGUUGGUCUCAGUUCAGAUUGCAGGCUGCAACCCGCCUGCAUGAAGAUGGAGUUGCUAGUAACCGCAGGUCAGCUAUACUGCGGUGAAUACGUUCCCGGGGCUU
rnacentral:rRNA from 1 species